rnacentral:lncRNA from 1 species
AGGGCUUUGGGAGGCUAGGUUUUGGAGAGAGGGGAGGAACGACUGAGUGAGAGGGAGCUGGGGAGUUCGAUGGGGGUUUGACAAGAGAAAAACUGGAAAGAAAAAGGGAGAGCCGAGGAUAGAGAGCAUUUGGGGGGGAGGUUCGGCUGGAAAAAAAGCUUAAGGGAGCGAAGGAAAGAAAGAAAAAAAAAGAGAACAACGCCGCCAGAGGAGAAGGAGAACCGAGAGGGAGGCUCGGCUGAAGAAAAAAUAGAGGGGAAGCUCGGGGGGAUUGGGAAGUUUUCGGGCAGAGGGAAGAGAGCCGAGGAAGACAAGAAAAAAGAAGACCGAGAGGGGUAGAGAGGUAUGUGUGACGGCUGAGAAUCGAAGAGGAAAAACAGACGGGCAAGAAAAGGCUAGAAAGAAACGAGAGCUGAGGGUUCCAUCUGAUAGUUUUGGAAAGCUAGAAAAGAGGGGGAGCAUAUAGUGGUGGCGGAAAGGGAAACAGAGAAAGCUUCAGAGCUGAAGGAAAAAAGCAGAGGGAAGUAGGGAGAAUUCGGGAAAGAAAAGAAAGAAAAAAACAAAGGGAAAGUGAAGGAACAUUAGAAGAAUGAAGCGGGUUCAUCAGAAGAACCACCGAAGCCGCCGCCGCUCGCAGGAAGCCGCCACCGUCCCACCGGAAUUCAUUGCCGCCUGCGAAUUUCAUCGAGAAAGAAAACGCUGUAAGUUAACCCUUUUCUUUGCACUUCAAGUUUCCUUCAAGCGUAGGUUUUUGGAAAUUUUUAGAGUAUGUCUGCCAUGCAUUUGUUUGGUGCAAAGUUCAUGCUGAAUGUUCAUAAUUUUAGAUUAUAUGUGUCUUAUGUGUUGAAUUGGACUGAAAUCUCUUGUUUUUGAACAAUUUUUGGGGCUGAUUAAUCUCAAUUUGAGCAAUAAUUCGGUGAGAUUUUAAUGCCUAUUUGUUGCUCGAUGAAAUGCCCAACUGAGAGUUGAACUUGCGUGAUUUUCAUUUUUGUUGAUUGAGAGUACCAAUUGAACCUUCUGAUGUUUUGUCUGAGGACGAACAGUAAUGGCGGUAUUGAUGUUCAAUCCGCUUGGAGAAGAUGAUCAUUUGACUAAAUUUAUAAUUUCAGUCCCGAAAUUUGCCUUUUCUCUGUGAUUUGUCCCUCAAAGUUUUAGAACUUCAUAAUUCGACCCCAAAACCUUCACAAUUCAUUCAAUUAGGUCCCUAUUUGUGUUACACUGGAACCCCUUAAUCUUCCCCCUUGUUCUGAUAAUGACCCGAAAAAUUGGAAAAGUGAACUUGUUUCUCCCUUUCAGAUUUUAAUCAUCUUUUAAUAUGCAUGAGUAGUCUUUUAGCUAGAUUAAUUCUUGUUUUUAGAUCAUAAUUGUGGCUUAAUAAUUUUGUUGAUUUUAUCCUGUUGGGCUUAGGGAAAUUGGAUUUUGGGUAAGAGGUUUAUUUGGUUGGGUUUGGUAAUGGAUUUGGUAUAUUUUCUUCUGGAUUUAUAAUUUGGGUUUGAGGGAUAAAGCCCAUAUGUUUUUAGUUGGGGUUUCGCUUGGACUAAAGAUGGGCUAAACCGUCUGUUUUGCUUGGGUUUCGGUUGGGCUAGGAGGGUUUCGGCGCAAACAAAUAAAGAAAACGGCCCAGUGGCCUACUAAGUCAAGAAGUCUGGUGACGAAAUUUCAUUCCAGUUCCCUGACUUUCGGAUAUUUUCACUAUGGCCCUACAAAACUUUUAACUUCUUUCAUUUGGGUCCCUAAUUUAAUUGCAAAUAGGUCCCUAAACUUUUUUUUUCUUUAAUUGUGACCCCGAAUCUUUGUGAUAAUUAUAAUUGGACCCCAAACCUUUGUUGGUUCUUGCAAUUAAGUUCUCUCUUGUUUUUAUUUCUUGAAUAUAGGUUGCUUACGUGAUUUAACGGAUUCAAUUUCAUGAUUAUUUGUUAAUUAAAGUGAUGCCUUGACUCCUUUCUUUGUUUUUGGAGGGUAAAUAAGUAAAUUCGUGUCAUCAAGGCUCCAACUCAAGGGAGGUACACUCUAUCCCUUAUUUCUUACUUUAUUUGACUCUACGUGCCCUAUGUGACUUUACGUGUGUAAUUGCAUGCCUCUUGAAUGUUUUUUUUUUAUUUCAUUUAUUUAUUUAUUUGUUUUAUUGGCUUUAAUUUUGUAUAUUUAUUUUAGUUCAAUUUUGAUCAUUUGAAAGGUACUUGAAUGCCAAGUUUGUAAUAGUUAGGUAUUUAUUUUAAUUAUUUCAUUUCAUAUUCCCCUUUUAGAUUGUAGUAGGCCCCCCCUCAAAUGUAAUAGUUAGGGCUUGUUUGCUUUGUGUGUUUUGCAUGCUUAUGUGCUAUGUGUUACCGCUUUCCCUAGGUUUCUGCAUCUAGAUAAGCAUGCUUAUGUGCUACGUGCUAUGUAAAAAUAUGUGCCUCGCAUGUCUAUUUGCUUUUAUCAUUAUAUCUGAUUAUGUGGAUGGAAUGUACGUUACCGUGGCUAGUCCAAUGCUAGUCAUGGUCUUCCCCUCGAGCUCUCACAAGUCCAAUGCUUGUGAGAGAGCGUUAGUAAAGGGCUAGUCCAAUGCUAGACCCAAUAGGGUCGCCUCUCGCUAGUACAUACUUGCAUGCCUUCACUACAUUUCAUGCAUUUUUCCUUUUUUAGCAUUUUUACGUUUUUGCAUGAUUCUUUACCCUUUUCCCACAUUCAAAGUAUGAUCUUUAGGAUUUUGCAUUUCACUCUAGUCAUUAGGGUCAUUUGCCUGAUUAGGUUAGGGAGUUAUUCUUUUGGUAAGGGGGACGGACGAGUUUGGCUACACAUAGCCUUAGCACGCUUAUUCUUUUUCUAACCAAAAGGAAAAGCAAAAGUCACGAUUUAGGGUCUCCCCGUACCCAUCUUGCUUGCAUUCCUCUAGGGUUCAUGCAUUUCAUUUACUCACUAUCACUUUGCACUCUCACUUCAUAUACUAUUACUUUUUCCACAUGUUCACUUCACAUGACUCUUAUCUUACACAUUCUCACUCUACCACUGGCACUUUACAUACUACCACUGAGCACACGUGCACUUCACACUAUCACUUUACAUCCCUCACCUUACACCCCAUUUGCACACUCCUACUUACACUAUUAUUUUUAUUAUUACUUUUUUCACUUCACAUAAGCUCAUGUUUUCACAUUGCAUACAUUCAUUCCAUUCAUUUUUCUUGUCAUGAGCAUUACUCGUGACCUCUUGGUGGGCUUAUCCUUGGCUAUCACAAGUCAUGUGAUCUAGUCCGAUCGAGCCUCUAAGAGAUAUUUGUCCCUUUCGAUCCCUCAUUAGGUUUAGGAUUGCAUUCAUAUUAGUUACAUCCAAAUGCGAUACAUCUUUUGGUUAGAAAUUAGGAAAAUUAUGACUAAAUCAUGCAACUAGUUUAGGCUAGGUUGAGAGGGUGCCUUAGACAUUGUCUUUGCCUUCCCUCUCUUCAACUGUGACCCCCAAACCAUUUUUUUCUGAUUUAUCGUAGAUUUUGGAGUCAAUCUAAAAAGGUUUUACAUUUAAAUCCACAUUUUUUGGGUGACUUGGUACACCCUAACUCAAUACCGAGUGGCGACUCCUACAUUUUACCAAAACUUUUUUAGAUUACUAUUUUUUGCCAAAACGUCGCAUUUCAAAGUCCCAUGGCCUUUCCCUUUCAUUUUCACACACAUCACCAUUUUCAAACCAUACUUCACUCACUUAUUAUACUUUUAUUAUUAAAAAAUGGGGCGCGACAGCUUUCAACCAUUGAAAAUUCACUUUUGCGUGGGUCGAGUGCAAUAAAGUGCACACUCGCCCAUCGAAAAUCCAUUUAGCAAUUAUUGGAAAGCAUUUAACAUUUAGACAACAUUCAUAACAUUCCACAUAGUCAUUUAAAGUAUACACAUGCAAGGAACACUCAUCUUUUAACGUAGAUCAAAGCUAAACGUUCGACUCCGGGUCGUGCUCGUUCCCACCGUUAAACCCUAAAAGUAACCAAGACAAGAUGUCAUGGUCCGAUCAUUCAAAACUUAGGUUAAUAAGGUGCUCACUUUAGCCUUAAUCAUGAGCCAUACACCUAUCUAAAAUCGGUCCCUCAAAACUCAAAGACAAACUUGAAAGCCAAUCGAAGAAUGUCCAAGUGCAUUCUAGGGUUAUGAAGUACACUUGUUUAAGGCCACAAAACCAUCCAAAAUCACACCAAUUAAAGUUAAAGACCUAGAAAAGUUUUCUCAAAGUUUUCCAAGUUCCACUCAAUUCAUUUGACAAAAUUUCCAGCUUUGGCGACAUUCUUUGAAAAAGUAUAAUUUGAGUUCCAUAGGUCAAAAAAUACAAAACUUAUACCAUUAGAAAAUAGACUCAAAGUACUAAUAGACUUUAGAAGACAUCUUCAUGAAAUUCAACUCAUAGGCUAGUCAAAUUUUCAAUUCAAAAUCACUGCUAUCUCAUGUACAAAACAGAACAGUCAUGGUUUUUCAAGAAUUUUGUAAAUUUGCUGGUAUUUAUAGGAGUUGAACCAACCCCUGAUUUUUACACGGUUAAAAUAGAUAUGAGUCUAGUUUCAAAUGCAACAAACGGAACUCAAUUUGGAAUUGUCUACACCAAGAUAUAAUAGAUUUCCCAAGACUACUCAAGGUCUCCUGCGGGAAAACUUUUCAGCAGCACUUCCCCUUAUUUUCCCUAAUUUCCAGCCAUUUUUAAGGUUUCAUUCUCACCACAAGAUAGCUCCAAUCAAGUUCACAAGAUAUAGGAUACAUAGAGUACUUAUUUUAGCCACAAAACUAGCUAUAACCAACAUAUACCUAAGUUGGAAAAUUUCUACCAGGGCUGGAAUUUUGCAACUAAGGUUGGAAAUUCUUAUCUGGAACUAAAAAGUCACAAUAAAGCUACAAAUCUUCAUACAAGUCCAUAACAAAGCUAGACCAUCUCUUAUCAAAGCUGGAAAUUCAUCUCAAAUCUAAAAAUUGAACAUUAAAGCUGGAAAUUAACCAAACCCUAGCAAAAUCAUGAAAUUACCAUAAACAUGCUUCCGUCAAGAAACAAGUAAAAAGAGAUGUUUUCUAGAAAUUUUACCUCGAAACUCCAAGAUAACAAACAACUCAAAAGCUUUCUUCCUUAAGUAACUCCACCAAAAGCUUCCCUCCAAGCUUAACUCAAGAUUAAUCGCUAUGGAUUAGGGUUAGUGUUUGGAUUUCUCAUGGAUUGAGCAAGAAAUCAAGGCUGGAGGUUGGUUUCUUUUCUCCCCCUUUCUCUCUCAAAAUUUCGGCCAGCCCAACCAAGAAUGAGGAGAAAUAAUGGUGAAAUGGAAGCUUAAUGGUGAAAGAAAGUUGUCUUGGUCUUGGUCAAAGUUCCAUGGAUGGUUGACACUUGGAAAGGCAAGAAUUAAUAUCUAGUUAAUGACUUAAAUAUCUCUUUUUGCUCUCGUCAAAAAUUUCGGCCAAAAAGGAAGGAAAAUUGUGGCUAGAGGAAAGAUAAGAAGGAAGAAAGUUUCUUAGUUAAAGGUUGCAUGGAUGGCCCACUUGGCAAGCCACCAAUUUUCCUCUUGUUUUUGUUUAUUUUCCUCUUGUUUUUGGUCAAGAAUUUCGGCUAGCUUAAGGUUAAUUUCGGGGAAGAUUAAAUGAAAUAAAAACAAGGAGAUUAGGGUAAGAAAGUAUUAAUCAAGUGGUGUCCUCCACCGGUAACAAACGGCGUACGUCGGUUCAAGCCUAUGUUCUUAACUCUCUUAUACUUUUAUCUUAACUUAUGAUUCACUAACUUACUCUUAGCACUUUUUAACCACAUACUUCCUCUUACUUAAUACCCGCUCUUAUCCACCAAAUUUAGUGCACACACCUCACCAAUCGAUCACACUACCAAAAUGCACCAAAACCCUAACUUACUCUAACUUUAAAAGUAAAAGUAAAACUCUUGACUCAACUAAUGAAAUCACCAUGAAAUUUAUGGCUAGUAAAUAGUUAAAUAGUUAAGUAAAGAAAUAUAAAGAAAAUAUAAAUUAAUUUUUCAAAAAUGGGAGGAAAUUCUAAAGGAAUUUUCGAGUCCUCACACAUUUGAAGUUAGUUUUUUGUCAAUACAUAAAGAUCAAAAAGACAAUUGGAGAGUUCAAACACUAAAUAAGGUUAUUGGUUUGAAAAGACAAUAGAAAAAUUCAAGCAAAGGAUAAAAGGUGAUGAGUGUAAGUUCCAAGAUAUGUUCAUUUCAUUUUGCAAUCGGGUCAAUAAAGGUAAUAGAUUUCAAUGACCAAUUCAAAUAAAUACAAAAUCGUGAUCCUUUUGAUAUUGUUGAUCGGUUUCAAGAUCUGUCUUUCUCCUAAUCCAUUUGAAUAUUCACUCUUGUGUUUUCCAUCACAAGCAUACAAUGACUAAGAGUUUAUGAUGAUGUUUCAACUCAAAAGUAGCAAAUGCAUGGAUGAGAAGUUCCAGUCGAGGUGUUGCAACAAGUGUAGGUAGAGUUGUUACCCGGCACCAAUUGUUGAACUGACAUAGUUUUGAUGACGAAGUGAUUGCUGGGCUGACACAAUUUCAAGACGAAGUGAUUGAGGAAACUUCCAAAAUAUUUGUCUACACUGUAUCUUCAAAGAUAUGAAAAUAUAUUACUUAGGCCCUGUUUGAUAAGCCAAUUCUGUGAGGACUCAUAUUUUUAUUCUCAAAAUAAUUAUUUUUAUAAUUAUUUGCCUUAGUAGUGAUUAAUUAUAUUAUCAUUACAUGAAUCGUUUUUAAAUUAUGCCUUAUCGCGCGCGAAUCGGAGGUUCGCGUAUUUCGCGUCGAAUCGACUAAGUGGAGAUUUAAGAAACUUAUACUAGACUACGAAGAGUGAAUAAUUAUAGUGUUAAAGGAAUUAUAUUUGAGGAUUAGUGCACUAGUGCAACAAACAAGAGAGAAAAGUGGUAGUGCACUUCACUAUUCGCGCACUAUUCCUAGUUGACUUUUGUACAACUUUUGGCCACAAAUCCAACAAGCUUCCAAGGGAAGCUUCACACUCAACAAACACUCUCUCUCUCUUCCUCUCUUGGCCGGCCGAACCCGCAAGAAAAAGAAAGGAAAGAAAGCUCCACUCCAUCUUGUUCAUUCUUGCUCCAAUUCACUUCUAACUUUGCAUCCAACCUCAAAACCACUUGGAGAUUAGCUUUAACUUGGUGAAAGGCUUCAUCUUGUGGUGAUUCUUGGAGGUUCAUUGGUGAAAAUUUCUGGUUUCAUCAAAGAUUCAAGAGGUACACUUCAACUCUUGUAAUCUCUUCAUUUUUCUUUAAGAAUCAAGCUUGGGUUGCAUGGAUUUGAAACCCUAAGCAAGGAUUAGGCUAGCGGACUUGAGGUGCUCUAUUUCUUGCUUUAAACUCUAAGAUAGUGGACUUGGUGUGACCUUUAGGUAGCUGCCUUGAGGAUUAAAUGCUUGAUUAAUGUUGUUUAUAUGUUAAGUGAGUUGAUUAUGGUUAGAAAGUGAAAGGAAAAUCAAAGGAAAUGGAGACUUGAGCUAGCCAAAAAUUUCUGGUCAUGUUACUCUGUGAUAUUUCAAAAUUAUUGAUGAUUGUUGGCUGUGAAAUUGAUUCUUAUAUGUUUUAUAUGGUGUGUACAAAGUGCUGUCCAAAAAUCAUUUGAUUUGGUUUAACAAAACUUGGAAUUUCGAAAUUGAAAGAAACCUGGAAAUGGUGUUUAGGGAGCCCGAACAGUGCUUCUUUGAUUGAACAUAUCUCUUUGUACAAAAGUCGAAAUCAAAUGCCGUUUGUGGCAUUUCAAACUAUACAUCCGUAGCUUUCUAACGGUAUAAAUGUCACUUGCUAGUUCGAUCUGAGUGAAUUGCAGUGAAUUGAUAAAUUCGGCUGUUCUGUUCUGUUCUGUCUGCCUGUUCCAUUCGAAUAGACAUGAGAAGCUGCAACUUGUGGCUUGAAUUCGAACUACUUGUGAACUGAUUUUGGAAAUAUUUUCUUCUGAUGAAAUGAAGUAUUUUGAACCUAGUUUUCAAAUCCACCAACCAUCAUAAUUUGAACUUGUAUUGAGUGAGAUAUGGCCUGAUUUUGAAAGUACGAUAAAACUGGAAAACUGGAAAGCUUUUCCUUCUUGUUGGCCUACUGGUCUAGUCUGUCGUAGGAUGCUUUAAUUCGAAAAUUUUGAUGUCAAUCAACCAUUAAGUGUUUAUUAAAGGUUUCUAGGACCUUGGUUUCAAAAAUAGAUUGAAUUUGGACUGAUUUCAUUGUACAAAAUGUUUGGAAAAGAAAUAAAAGCAAGAAGACAGAUUGUUCUUGAAACAUUUUACGAAUUUUAGUUGUUUUGUUAACUGUCUUCCCACGUAAGUUUUUACGUGCAAUUUGAUAGGGAGGUAGUCCAUAUAUAUAAGCUUAAAUGUGCCAAAUUUGGUGUUAUUUCAAUAACCUUUCGAUAUCCAAAUGAUGCUACAAAGUUGGCUCUUCAAAUCUGGAAAAAAAUUCUGAACAGUGUUCAAAUUCCAGCCAACUUUAAGUUGCUAUAUAUCGAUGCCUAAAAUUCCAAAUUUAGUUCCAUUUGCCAUGUUUGAAACUUUGUUUGGAACUCUUAUUGUGCUACGAAUUUUAAAGGCUAGUUCGAUUUCUGUGAAUUAUGCCGAAUUUCCAAAGAUGACUGCAAAACCAAGACUGGUUAAAACCUAUCCUAUUAUAACUGAAUCUUUGAGUUGAAAAAUGAGUGCUUUCCGUUUAGAAUCUUGGAAAUGUGUCUUCUAGGAAUUUUUAGUACUCCGAACCAAGAUUCCAAGGUAUAAAUUUUUCCAAUUUUGGACCUAUUGAGUGAAAGUUCUGAUUUUUCUAAAUUUGAUGCGUAAAACAGAAAUUUUCCGACUUGUUGGGAAAUGAAUUGUUGGAGAAUUUUCCCUAUUCUUUGAUAUUGAUUGAUCGUUCUAAACUCGAUUUUAUGGAGGAAAUCAGUUUCUCUUGUAUUAAUAAAUUCUCACUUUUGAACCUCUAUUUUGAGUGAUUAAGGUUCCCUUUUGAGGCAUCGACUAGUCUAAAUAAGUGUGUCUUUUUUUCUGGUUAAUACGUGAUUAUGAGUGAAAGUACUUUUAUUUGUUCAGGCACUCAAGGAGAUUUUCAAGAGAAUUUCGAAGCGGACGCCUAAAGACUUAAUUGCUCGCUCACUCACUUUUCUUUUGACUUGGCGAGUGUCAAGUGUAUGAAAUGUUAUUACGUGCUUAAUUGUUCUCAUUGAUUGAGUAUUUUGAAAAAUGUUGAGUCGAGUGUGUACUUUAUCACACUCGUUUUCGUUUAAGUGAAGUGUAUUUGAAUUGUUUGAAGUGAAUUGUUAAGUGAAUUAAGUGUAGUGUUGCAACAGUGAAUUAUGCUAUGGUUGCAUAUGUCGAUUGGAGUGAAUCUCCUCGACUUGAAUUGAUAAUAGUGGGGGAUACCCAAAACUCAUCGGCCGACCUUGCGAAUCGAGCCGGCAUAGGUUUGGUCGUGAAGCUUGGUGAGUCAUGAGAAAAUUCUAGAAGCUUGAUCUAUUGGAGAGAUCUUGCUCGGCAUACUCGAGUAGUAUCGUCUUAUAUAAAAGAAGUGCGGGCCCAGAGCAGGGGUGUAACGGUGAACGGGGAAGUAUAAGUGAAGUUCUAUGGAUUUAUAACCUACCUGAUUGACGGAGUGUCAACUCGUGGAGGUACUAGAUCGAGCAAGUGGAACAUAGCUCCUGAGAGCUCCCGUAUCCUUAUCAAGUGUGAUUUAUUGUUAAUUGUGAACUACUUGAAUGUUAUAGCUUUCAUUCUUGUUUAAGUGCUAUUGUUAUUUGAACUACGUGUUUUGCAUGUUUUCUUGGCCUCACGAGCAUUCGCUUACCCCAUUAGAUUUAUUUUCCUUAACAGGAGUUGAAAUGGAAGGAAUUAUGGAGAAGGCUAUUUGAUGGCUCUUUUGAUUAGAAUUUUGGAUGUACUGAUUAGAAGACUUUUGAAAGUUGUACAUUUU